GGGCCCGCACAAGCGGUGGAGCAUGUGGUUUAAUUCGAUGCAACGCGCAGAACCUUACCUGGGUUUGACAUCCUCGGAUCGAUACAGAGAUGUAUUUUCUUCUUCGGAAGUCGAGUGACAGGUGCUGCAUGGCUGUCGUCAGCUCGUGUCGUGAGAUGUUGGGUUAAGUCCCGCAACGAGCGCAACCCUUAUCCUUAGUUGCCAGCGAUUCGGUCGGGGACUCUAAGGAGACUGCCGGUGUCAAGCCGGAGGAAGGUGGGGAUGACGUCAAGUCCUCAUGGCCCUUAUGCCCAGGGCUACACACGUGCUACAAUGGCCGGUACAAAGAGCUGCGAAGCGGUGACGUG
rnacentral:rRNA from 1 species